rnacentral:rRNA from 1 species
UACAGAGGGUGCGAGCGUUAAUCGGAAUUACUGGGCGUAAAGCGUGCGCAGACGGUCAUGUAAGUCGGGUGUGAAAGCCCCGGGCUCAACCUGGGAAUUGCAUUCGAGACUGUGUGGCUAGGGUGCGGAAGAGGGAAGCGGAAUUCCUGGUGUAGCGGUGAAAUGCGUAGAUAUCAGGAGGAACACCUGUGGUGUAGACAGCUUGCUGGACCAUAACUGACGCUGAGGCACGAAAGCGUGGGUAGCAAACAGG